AACCUGCGGAAGGAUCAUUAGUGAAUUUUAGGGUGCUCUCUCGCUUCUUCCUUAACUGGAGAAGUUGUAGAGAGGCCUGACCUCCACUUUCUACCCUGUGCACUAUUUCAAAAAGGUGUCUUGGAAAUGCUUCGGCGGCUCCUUGCCUUUUUUCAUUCAUAAACACGAGUUGAAGAAUGUAACAAAAAUCAUAACAAAAAAAAACUUUCAACAACGGAUCUCUUGGCUCUCGCAUCGAUGAAGAACGCAGCGAAAUGUGAUAAGUAAUGUGAAUUGCAGAAUUCAGUGAAUCAUCGAAUCUUUGAACGCACCUUGCGCUCUCUGGUAUUCCGGAGAGCAUGUCUGUUUGAGUGUCAUGAACUCUUCAACCCGCCCUUUUCUUAAUGAUGAGGUGUCGGUGCUUGGAUUCUGAGCCCUGCUAUUAGCUUAGCUGGUUCGUAAUACAUGAGCAUUUCAAUUUUCAAAUCGGAUUGACUUGGCGUAAUAGACUAUUCGCUGAGGACACUCUUUACUGAGUGGCCGGUUAGAAAUCACGAAGAGCUUCCAACCCCUCUAGUCAAACUUUUAAGAUUAGACCUCAAAUCAGGCAGGAUUACCCGCUG
rnacentral:rRNA from 1 species